rnacentral:rRNA from 1 species
GACGAACGCUGGCGGCGUGCUUAACACAUGCAAGUCGAACGGAAAGGCCCUGCUUUUGUGGGGUGCUCGAGUGGCGAACGGGUGAGUAACACGUGAGUAACCUGCCCUUGACUUUGGGAUAACUUCAGGAAACUGGGGCUAAUACCGGAUAGGAGCUCCUGCUGCAUGGUGGGGGUUGGAAAGUUUCGGCGGUUGGGGAUGGACUCGCGGCUUAUCAGCUUGUUGGUGGGGUAGUGGCUUACCAAGGCUUUGACGGGUAGCCGGCCUGAGAGGGUGACCGGCCACAUUGGGACUGAGAUACGGCCCGAACUCCUACGGGAGGCAGCAGGGGGGAAUAUUGCAAAAUGGGCGGAAGCCUGAUGCAGCAACGCCGCGUGCGGGAUGACGGCCUUCGGGUUGUAAACCGCUUUCGCCUGUGACGAAGCGUGAGUGACGGUAAUGGGUAAAGAAGCACCGGCUAACUACGUG